UACGUAGGGUGCGAGCGUUAAUCGGAAUUACUGGGCGUAAAGCGUGCGCAGGCGGUUUUGUAAGUCAGAUGUGAAAUCCCCGGGCUCAACCUGGGAAUGGCAUUUGGGACUGCAAGGCUGGAGUGCGGAAGAGGAGACUGGAAUUCCUGGUGUAGCAGUGAAAUGCGUAGAUAUCAGGAGGAAUACCGAUGGCGAAGGCAGGUCUCUGGGCUGACACUGACGCUCAUGCACGAAAGCGUGGGGAGCGAACAGG
rnacentral:rRNA from 1 species